ACCUUGAUGUCGGGCCUCUGUCUUUUUAAGAAGCUCCUGCUCUCUCUGAAUCUCCGCCUCCAGGAAGUCAUCACAAUGUUUCUCCUUCAAGUCGUUUAUAGCCAUUCUGAGUGUUUCACUGAGAAGUAGCUCGUAUAAUGAACUCAACAGAUGCACAGUUCCACCAGAUGUUUGCUAAUUGCUGCUGGCUAGUCUGAAGGAGCUGAAAGGGGGAAUCAUGGCGAGCUUAGUGGAAAAGGCAGCACUUGCUGAGACCAAGCGUUUAGGCACCCCAAAUGGUUGCCACUGGAGACUAAAGGGUUUCUCAAACAUGCAUGAAAGAAUCAAAGCCAUACUCCCUGUAUGUUUUGAUGAUGCAGUAGCAUUAUGACAUCAUGUACAUCUUAAAAGUUGAUUUAACAUAUCACUGCCUCUUUAAAACCAGUAUUUGUGUUCGAGUUUCCUUUGAAACACACUGGAAAGAGUUGGGUUGCUUCUUGGAAAAAGCUUGAACAUGUUUAGUAAAUAAAGACGAAGAAGCAAGAGUGUGUCUCAGAGUGUCAUUAUGAGCUUUGUCCACCAGAUGGAGCACUGCAACCAGCUCACCUCUGCUCACCAAAAGCCUGACUCCAUGUGAAUCCACUCUUUUCUUUCUUACUUUUCUUUGUGUUUCUCCAGAUUUUGCUGCUUGUGUUUCCCUCCUCUGAGUUCUCAGCAGAGAGUGGGUGUGUGUGUGAGUGCCCCGCUCUGUGAACAAUAGAUGUUUUCUAUCAAUCCGGCAGCAUGCAGUGAAGACAUGCGCCGUAGCUUUCCACAGGAGAACUCCCUGCGCUGUCACAGGCCUGUGAGGAAGACUUGAACCAGAUCAGACGACGAGGGAAAUCACUCGGCCCUGCGUUAGUGUGUGUGGGUGUGUGGGUGGGAUUUUCCAGCUGCUUUACAUCUCCAAGCAGAGGCUAUUUGUCCUGACCUCGCUUCUCUGAAGGGUUACUCUGAGGUUAGAGGGCGUAAUUAGUGAAUCCAGGCCAGGGGUUAUAGUCCUUCAGAGGCAGCAAGGUGCCUGAAUGUAUGUGGUUUGUGGAACAUAGCAGUGUGGAUGGAAAGGCUGUUAUAUGUGCGUGUGGGUGGGAUUCACUCUGUUUAUAGUGGGCGUCUUGGCCCAAUAGCAUAAAUACACAUUUAAUGCUCUUUUUCUCAGCAAUCAGGGUUAGGUUUACAGUGAAAAGGGGGGAAAACAAAAUGCAUCUUUGAUUUUAAGAAUUUAAUGCAAAAAAAAAAAAAGAUUCAGGAUAUUAUAAAGACAUUUCAAAUCACAAAUUUCACUGUACAGAAAGCAGUAAUUCCAAAUAAUUUCCAUUCUUUCUAUAUAGGUUCACUCUAAAACAUGUUAAAAGUUGGCUACUGCUGAUGUUGAACAGAAUAGAAAUAAAUGUCCUUUAGUGUCCCACAGUGGGUGAAUUUAGGUACACCAGCAUGAGGUUAAAGAGAAGUGGAAACAUGCACAUUCACACAAAGAUUAGCCAUAUAAAAAUAGGAAUAAGAGGCAUAACAAUUAAUUUUAAAACCAAAGGAAAAAAGUACAGUGGGGCUACAGAUAUUAAAAAUGACACUAAGGACAAAACAACUAUGCAACCCAGUAGGAUAAUAAAAGAAACAAAAAAUGUAUAUGAUGUGCACCUAUAUUUGGGCAUAAAAAACAAACUAUUUAUCAUUGAGCUGUCCGCAAGGUCAAAUUACAUCAUUUCAGUAACUGACUCCCUCUGCAAGGACCGAACUUUCUGCACUGUGUACCUCUGAAAUUUUGUAUCUACUACACAAAACGUUCCGUGCAGAAAAAACAUGGCGAACAAGCAAGAGCACCCUUGGUGGAGGUUUGCAGAGAAGAAGGACAUUGUCAUGAUUCUGUUCGUAAGGAACACCACGCUCACAGUUGUCUCUAUGUUGCUACCAACUGUUUCUUUUUUAUUAUUAUAAAACUUUGUCAAAAAUGUGCAAUAGCAUAUUAGGACCAUUGUAGAUAUAAACAUUUGAGCAAAUUUCCGUCAAAGAAAUCUCAUUUUCUAAAAAAACAAAACAGGACAUUUUUGAACUCAAAGUCAGAAAUUUGCUAGGAAAAGACUAGAAAUAUUGAGAUUGAGCUCAGACAUUUUAGAGAAAAAAAUGUGGAAAUAUAUGAGUUUCAAAAGUUAAGGUUACAGGUUUUUCUACAAACAAUUUUAAUAAUGUUUCUUGGACAAAUGAGUUUGAAAUCGAGUUACCUGAACACCAGGACAGUUUUAGCAUGAACCAAGACAACAUACAAUGAAGCACAGAGGUAGAAAUGUCAUGAUUCGAGAUUGCUUUACUACAGUGACUCCUGGCUAGCUCGCCAUCUUAAAUUAUGACU